AGUCCUCUGCUAGUUGAACUACUUUGUACCACAUCUGGCAAAUUCCUAAGCCCCUAAACUCUAUAAAUGCUGGUUCUCCUAAACGUUAAGUCUUUAUAAUGAUCAGCUUAACACUGUGUUGCUACAAAGAAGAAAUCUCAGAAUCAUCUGGGUCCUGCAGGAAGGCUAAAGAAAAAUGCUUUGAUAAACCCCUGUGCACCAGCAUUCUCUCACCCAUCCUCCACCACUCCCCAGUCUGGUUUUUUUUGUUUGUUUGCUUGUUUGUUUUUGGUUUUUGAGAUGGA
rnacentral:lncRNA from 10 species